GGGCCCGCACAAGCGGUGGAGCAUGUGGUUUAAUUCGAUGCAACGCGAAGAACCUUACCUGGUCUUGACAUACACAGAAUCUUGUAGAGAUACGAGAGUGCCUUCGGGAAUUGUGAUACAGGUGCUGCAUGGCUGUCGUCAGCUCGUGUCGUGAGAUGUUGGGUUAAGUCCCGCAACGAGCGCAACCCACGUCUUUAGUUGCCAGCAUUUAGUUGGGCACUCUAGAGAGACUGCCGGUGAUAAACCGGAGGAAGGUGUGGAUGACGUCAAGUCAUCAUGCCCCUUACAUCCUGGGCUACACACGUGCUACAAUGGCAGUGACAAUGGGUUAAUCCCCAAAAGCUGUCUCAGUCCGGAUUGGAGUCUGCAACUCGACUCCAUGAAGUCGGAAUCGCUAGUAAUCG
rnacentral:rRNA from 1 species